rnacentral:rRNA from 1 species
AUAUCAAUAAGCGGAGGAAAAGAAACCAACAGGGAUUGCCUCAGUAACGGCGAGUGAAGCGGCAACAGCUCAAAUUUGAAAUCUGGCUCCGUCGGGGUCCGAGUUGUAAUUUGUAGAGGAUGCUUCGGGCAAGGCUGUGGUCUAAUUCGCUUGGAACAGCGAGUCACAGAGGGUGAGAAUCCCGUCUAGGAUCGUAGGCCGCGUCCGUGUGAAGCUCCUUCGACGAGUCGAGUUGUUUGGGAAUGCAGCUCUAAAUGGGUGGUAAAUUUCAUCUAAAGCUAAAUAUGGGCCAGAGACCGAUAGCGCACAAGUAGAGUGAUCGAAAGAUGAAAAGCACUUUGAAGAGAGAGUUAAACAGUAUGUGAAAUUGUUGAAAGGGAAGCGCUUGCAACCAGACUUGUGACUGGCGGUUCCCCCGGCCUCCUGGCCGGGCUACUCCGUCACGUCCAGGCCAACAUCGGUUUGGGUGGUCGGUUAAAGACCCCGGGAACGUAUCAACCUUCGGGUUGACUUAUAGCCCGGGGUGCAAUGCGGCCCACCCGGACCGAGGAACGCGCUCCGGCUCGGAUGUUGGCGUAAUGGUUGUGAGCGGCCCGUCUUGAAACACGGACCAAGGAGUCUAACAUCUAUGCGAGUGUUUGGGUGUCAAACCCCUACGCGGAAUGAAAGUGAACGGAGGUAAGAACCUUUCGGGGUGCAUUAUCGACCGAUCCUGAUGUCUUCGGAUGGAUUUGAGUAAGAGCAUAGCUGUUGGGACCCGAAAGAUGGUGAACUAUGCAUGAAUAGGGUGAAGCCAGAGGAAACUCUGGUGGAGGCUCGCAGCGGUUCUGACGUGCAAAUCGAUCGUCAAAUUUGUGCAUAGGGGCGAAAGACUAAUCGAACCAUGGUUAAAAUACACCCCGGAAGACUGCCUGGGAGGGUCUUCGGGGUUGAUCAGGUGGUUCUCCACCAGUCCUACGGGGCAACAUCGUCCUUCUGGCGGGGACCUUCACCCGCAGCAGUUGGACCACAACUGUUCACAGACUAGGAGGCGGUGGUCAUCUCCACCGCGAGAUGAUGAUGAUAUAGUCGGUCACGGUUGAAUGUUUGAACCGUGGAUGAACGCUGGUAGCUGGUUCCUGUCGAAGUUUCCCUCAGGAUAGCAGUAACGUUUUCAGUUUUAUGAGGUAAAGCGAAUGAUUAGAGGCCUUGGGGUUGCAACAAUCUUAACCUAUUCUCAAACUUUAAAUAUGUAAGAAGUCCUUGUUACUUAACUGAACGUGGACAUUUGAAUGUAUCGUUACUAGUGGGCCAUUUUUGGUAAGCAGAACUGGCGAUGCGGGAUGAACCGAACGUGAGGUUAAGGUGCCGGAAUGUACGCUCAUCAGACACCACAAAAGGUGUCAAUGCAUCCAGACAGCCGGACGGUGGCCAUGGAAGUCGGAAUCCGCUUAGGAGUGUGUAACCGAGCCUUGUUGCACACAAGCAAUCUUUAACCAGGUUAGUCGAUCAUCUUUGAUCUGACAAUGGCUCUACUUGACUGGAAUUCUGUCUACGAAAAUCGGUCGCAGGUCGCCCAUCCGACCUGUCUACAGACUAAAACGAGCCAACUAUAAGCUGUCUUAUAGUUAAGAUAUAGUCGAUCAGCACCUGACGGGCCAGGUCGCUUUGACGAGAACAACUCACCGGCCGAAUGCAUUGGCCCUGAAAAUGGAUGGCGCUUAAGCGUGCUACCUAUACCUCGCCGUUGGGGUUGAAAUGAUGCCCCAACGAGUAGGCAGGCGUGGGGGUUGGUGACGAAGCCUUGGGGGUGACCCCGGGUCGAACAACCUCUAGUG